AUAUGUGGUCAUUUCGUAACUGCUAACAAUAAAGGCAGGGCAGCAGAAAGAAAAGGGGAAGAGCAAGCAUCUGAAAGAAGAAAUACAAGCCUAAGUCUUGAUUCAGCUACUCACCCUCUUCCUGAGGCAGGACCGGCUAGGCACUCCUGCCUCUAAGAGCAGCAAAGAAGCUGAUCUGUAACACCAGCCACCUGGCCCGAGGAGGGUAGUAGAAGGCCCAGAGACAAAAGAUCAAGGGGACUCUGAGCUCUAGGCUCCACGGUGAUCUUCCCAACCUCUCUCCUUGGUUCAUCUGAUACCAAGACUGUCUCCCCUACUCCACCCUGAGCACAGGGUGAAGAGCAGGAAUGGUAGAGAAGUCCAGUCGGCCCUUCCCAGCAGAGCUGUGGCAUCGCUGACAGGCAGCGGGGAGACUCCAGGGCAGAGGAAAAUCCAUCCUGCAAUGGCCUUGGGUGCUAGCACAGGUCUAGGCUGCUAAGUCAAGGAAAGGCGCACAAGGACAGCAAAGGAGGUGAUGCAGAAAGCAGCUGGGCUCCAGUCCCUCCUGCUUCCCAACGACUCUGAGGAGCGUGCAAGCCUUCAGCCUGACCUAGUGGCCUAAUGAGAGACUGGCAACCCACCCUGGGUGUGGAGACAAGCGCUCAAUCCUAAGCCCAGCAUCUGCAGGAAGCCAGCGUCCACACGACCUCUGAGCAGCCAAGGCCAGAGGGGGAUGGUGCAGGGAUGAUUGGUCUGAAGGGUGACCUGGAGACCUUUCCCUCUCACCCUCCCCCAGAUGGCUCUUCAGAGAUCCUGUUGUCUAACCACCACCUCUUCGAGAGCUUAUCCUAUCCAUUCCAAAUCAAAGGACAUCUGGGGUCGCAACACUUGCAUCUUCCUUAUACAGACUCCCGUCUCUCUGCCCCUACUGGUCUCAGGCUGCUCAAGAAAAAGAAACCUGGGUCAGAAGCCCCAUUAGCAUGAAAGAGUGUGAGGCCAGGCCUUCCCAUGACACGAGGCUUGGAUGAGUGCCCACUGGAGGCUUGGUCCCAACACCACAGGUAGAUGAAGAAGCGGCUAAGUGAGUCAAGGCUCAGAGAUGAGAAGAAUCCAUCUUCCAAGGCAGUGGGAUACACAGCCAAGGCACUAAAUGGUUUGGCACCUGGGAGCUUCAAGUAAAGGGGAGCGUGCCACCCACCAAAAGGCCAGGGCUCCCCCAGACGGGGAUGGGCUUCCCCUGAGCACACACCAGCCCCAUGAAGGCAAGAGGCCCUCGGGUCCUCAGGAUCCUACCCAGGCCUGCCAUCCACCCUGCAUCUCAGAACCCUACAAGGCAUGACUAGAAAGAUAACAAAUACUGAUUCUGAAACACACAGUCCAGAACGCAUCCAUCCUGGUGAGUCCCAGCCCUCAGAGAGGCACCUCAGGGGCCUUCCCUUGAUCCAAUCAGGCGGUUGCUGCUGCUGGGAGCUCCCUCCAGGGCCUGUAGCACAGUCUCCUGAAUGUCUCGGGGUGGCAAAGCUCUGUUGCAGAUUAUGUCUGACUUUUUGAAAGUAGUGAAAACAGAGUUUAGAAUCAAACUGAGUCCAGAAAAGGGGAAUCGAAGGGGAUGGUGCUGAGUUUAAAGGGACAGUUCAGGGUGACCAGAGAGUAAUGGCAUCAGAUGUAUCUGAAUGGCUCCAAUGGCCUAGGAAAGCAAUGGAAGGAGAAAGGUUCCCCAUAAUGUUCUGGUCAGUGGCAGCCACAUGAAAUAACUCAGGGCGUGGCCUACCAGGCACUGAAAUGGUCAACACUGAAAUGACAAGGCUCUGGCUCUUCUGCAGUUAAAAGCUCAGGCUUUAAGACUUAUAAUCAUACUUCCUCCAUCUCACUUGAUGCCCCCACCCCCCCGCUU
ensembl:lncRNA